CAGGACGAACGCUGGCGGCGUGCCUAAUACAUGCAAGUCGAGCGAAUGACAAGGAGCUUGCUCCUUGAUUAGCGGCGGACGGGUGAGUAACACGUGGGUAACCUACCCUAUAGACUGGGAUAACUUCGGGAAACCGGAGCUAAUACCGGAUAAUACUUCGAAACACAUGUUUUGAAGUUGAAAGAUGGUUUCGGCUAUCACUAUAGGAUGGACCCGCGGCGCAUUAGCUAGUUGGUGGGGUAAUGGCUCACCAAGGCAACGAUGCGUAGCCGACCUGAGAGGGUGAUCGGCCACACUGGGACUGAGACACGGCCCAGACUCCUACGGGAGGCAGCAGUAGGGAAUCUUCCACAAUGGACGAAAGUCUGAUGGAGCAACGCCGCCGUGAGUGAAGAAGGAUUUCGGUUCGUAAAACUCUGUUGCAAGGGAAGAACAAGUAGCGUAGUAACUGGCGCUACCUUGACGGUACCUUGUUAGAAAGCCACGGCUAACUACGUGCCAGCCGCGGC
rnacentral:rRNA from 1 species